UACGUAGGGGGCGAGCGUUGUCCGAAGUUACUGGGCGUAAAGCGCGCGUAGGCGGGGGGUUAAGUGAGAGGUGAAAGGCUGGGGCUCAACCCCAGAUCGCCGUUCGAAACUGCCGUUCUUGAGGGUCGAAGAGGAGAGUGGAAUUCCUGGUGUAGCGGUGAAAUGCGUAGAGAUCAGGAGGAACACCCAUGGCGAAGGCAGCUCUCUGGUCGACAUCUGACGCUGAGACGCGAAAGCGUGGGGAGCGAACGGG
rnacentral:rRNA from 1 species